UACGGAGGGUGCAAGCGUUAAUCGGAAUUACUGGGCGUAAAGCGCGCGUAGGCGGCUUGUUAAGUCGAAUGUGAAAGCCCCGGGCUCAACCUGGGAACUGCAUCCGAUACUGGCUGGCUAGAGUGUGGUAGAGGGAAGUGGAAUUCCAGGUGUAGCGGUGAAAUGCGUAGAUAUCUGGGGGGAACACCAGUGGCGAAGGCGGCUUACUGGACGUGAAUUGACGCUGAGGUGCGAAAGCGUGGGGAGGCAAACAGGAUUAGAUACCCCGGUAGU
rnacentral:rRNA from 1 species